rnacentral:rRNA from 1 species
GAUGAACGCUGGCGGCGUGCCUAAUACAUGCAAGUCGAGCGAACAGACGAGGAGCUUGCUCCUCUGACGUUAGCGGCGGACGGGUGAGUAACACGUGGAUAACCUACCUAUAAGACUGGGAUAACUUCGGGAAACCGGAGCUAAUACCGGAUAAUAUAUUGAACCGCAUGGUUCAAUAGUGAAAGACGGUUUUGCUGUCACUUAUAGAUGGAUCCGCGCCGCAUUAGCUAGUUGGUAAGGUAACGGCUUACCAAGGCAACGAUGCGUAGCCGACCUGGGGGCGUGAUCGGCCACACUGGAACUGAGACGCGGUCCAGACUCCUACGGGAGGCAGCAGUAGGGAAUCUUCCGCAAUGGGCGAAAGCCUGACGGAGCAACGCCGCGUGAGUGAUGAAGGUCUUCGGAUCGUAAAACUCUGUUAUUAGGGAAGAACAAAUGUGUAAGUAACUAUGCACGUCUUGACGGUACCUAAUCAGAAAGCCACGGCUAACUACGUG